UGCUUUGACAAUUCAAGGGCUCUAAAGAGGCAGUAUCAGUGUUCAGCAGAGUCCACAAUGCCUGGUGGGAGGGAGGUGGAUACCUCACAGAGCAGCAGCAGUACCUUUAAGCUCUGUGUACCAGGUGUUCUCAAGCCACUAGCCUGGAAAAGAACAAUCAAAACGAACAGUCCCCAACGGUGAACCCUGUGGCCUUGCCACAUUUGAACCAGAAGGAUGGGGGCCAGGAGCCAGCACAGCUUACAAGUUAUACUGAUAUUUUGUGUCAGUUUUCCAACUAUAUAAAUGCACAUGGCUGUGAUGGCUCUGAACUGUGACACUGAGCUAAAAUCCAAA